rnacentral:tRNA from 1 species
GCCUGGGUGGCUCAGUUGGUUGAGUGUCCGACUUCGGCUCGGGUCAUGAUCUCACAGUUCGUGAGUUCGAGCCCCGCGUCGGGCU